GACAGAGGGUGCAAACGUUGUUCGGAAUUACUGGGCGUAAAGCGUGUGUAGGCGGUCUCAUAAGUCGGGUGUGAAAUCCCUGGGCUCAACCCAGGAAGUGCACUCGAAACUGCGAGGCUAGAGUACCGGAGAGGUUGGUGGAAUUCUCGGUGUAGAGGUGAAAUUCGUAGAUAUCGAGAGGAACACCGGUGGCGAAGGCGGCCAACUGGACGAGUACUGACGCUGAGACACGAAAGCGUGGGGAGCAAACAGG
rnacentral:rRNA from 1 species